AUUGAACGCUGGCGGCAGGCUUAACACAUGCAAGUCGAGCGGGGGAAGGUAGCUUGCUACCGGACCUAGCGGCGGACGGGUGAGUAAUGCUUAGGAAUCUGCCUAUUAGUGGGGGACAACAUCUCGAAAGGGAUGCUAAUACCGCAUACGUCCUACGGGAGAAAGCAGGGGAUCUUCGGACCUUGCGCUAAUAGAUGAGCCUAGGUCGGAUUAGCUGGUUGGUGGGGUAAAGGACUACCAAGGCGACGAUCUUUAGCGGGUCUGAGAGGAUGAGCCGCCACACUGGGACUGAGACACGGCCCAGACUCCUACGGGAGGCAGGAGUGGGGAAUAUUGGACAAUGGGGGGAACCCUGAUCCAGCCAUGCCGCGUGUGUGAAGAAGGCCUUAUGGUUGUAAAGCACUUUAAGCGAGGAGGAGGCUACUCUAGUUAAUACCUAGGGAUAGUGGACGUUACUCGCAGAAUAAGCACCGGCUAACUCUGUGCCAGCCGCCGCCGUAA
rnacentral:rRNA from 1 species